GACGAACGCUGGCGGCGUGCCUAAUACAUGCAAGUCGAGCGAAUCGAUGGGAGCUUGCUCCCUGAGAUUAGCGGCGGACGGGUGAGUAACACGUGGGUAACCUGCCUGUAAGACUGGGAUAACUUCGGGAAACCGGAGCUAAUACCGGAUACUUUCUUUUCUCGCAUGAGGGAAGAUGGAAAGAUGGUUCUGCUAUCACUUACAGAUGGACCCGCGGCGCAUUAGCUAGUUGGUGAGGUAACGGCUCACCAAGGCAACGAUGCGUAGCCGACCUGAGAGGGUGAUCGGCUACACUGGGACUGAGACACGGCCCAGACUCCUACGGGAGGCAGCAGUAGGGAAUCUUCCGCAAUGGACGAAAGUCUGACGGAGCAACGCCGCGUGAGCGAAGAAGGCCUUCGGGUCGUAAAGCUCUGUUGUUAGGGAAGAACAAGUACGAGAGUAACUGCUCGUACCUUGACGGUACCUAACCAGAAAGCCACAGCUAACUACGUGCCAGCAGCCGCCGUAAGAC
rnacentral:rRNA from 1 species